UUGCAUAUACGGCAAGUCGGCAAACAAUAACUCU
rnacentral:sRNA from 1 species